AAAAGGAGAAAUGGAAGAAGAAAUCAAUGAGUACCAACAUAAUGAUCAUUUUGAUCUAUAUAAUUUACCUCAUCUUUUUUUUUCUUUUUUAAAUAAAAGUAGAAUGUGAAUUGUGAGAAAAAAUAUUCAAGCAAGUCUGAAAUGGAGCAAAUACUCUUCUUACUCCACCCCACAGAGCAGUAAACAGUGUGGCCGUACUGUGACUCAAGAUUUCCAACACCGCAAGUAUUUCCUCCAACAUUGAAACAGACUGCUGUUUCUUUCUUUCUUUCUUUCUUUCUUUUUUUUUUUUUUUUUUUGAGAAGAAGGGAGUCUCCCUCUCUGUCGCCCAGGCUGGAGUGCAGUGGUGGCUCACUGCAAGCUCCGCCUCCUGGGUUCACGCCAUUCUCCUGCCUCAGCCUCCUGAGUAGCUGGCACUACAGGCGCUGACCACCACGCCUGGCUAAUUUUUUGUUUUUGUUUUUGUUUUUGUUUUUAGUAGAGACGGGGUUUCACCAUGUUAGCCAGGAUGGUCUCGAUCUCCUGACCUCGUGAUUCGCCCGCCUCGGCCUCCAAGGUGUUGGGAUUACAGGCGUGAGCCACUGCGCCCGGCCCAGACUGCUCUUUCUUUAGUGGAGCACCAGAUGCAGUAGUUGGCUUUCAUUGGGCUCAGCUUGGGGACUUGUCCACACUAUGAGCUGUGUGUGCACACUGAGACCCAAGCUCUGGACAUAUGCUCAUUAAGUGAAAUGGCCAGCAUUGAAUCACUCAGCCAGUCUCUUUCCUUGUUCAGUGCUGUAACUCUUUGUUAGGAAGACAUCUGCUUGUAAUUCUUUAGCUGGCUCCCUUCCUUUGAACUGCAGUUAUUUUUUCACAUCUCAGGUGAUUUAUUUCGUUGCCCGUUCUUAGAGGGAAGUCUGUUCUUGUCUAGUUUUGUUUUGUUUUGUUUUGUUUUGUUUUGUUUUGUUUGUUUUGAGACAGGGUCUUGCUCUCGCUCUGCCAUCCAGGCAGUGGAUGAAGUGCAGUGGCACCAUCUCGGCUCAGUUCAACCUCUGCACCACUCCCCACCCCCACCCCCCAGGCUCAAGCAAUCCUCCCACCUCAGCCUCCCAAGUAGCUGGGACCAUAGGCAUGCACCACUAUGCCCAGCUAAUUUUUUGUAUUUUUAGGAGAGAUAGGGUCUCUCACCAUGUUUUUCAGGCUGGUCUCGAACUCCUGAGCUCAAGCCAUCCAUCUGCCUUGGCCUCCCAAAGUGCUGGGAUUACAGGCAUGAGCCACUGUGGCCUGCCUCAAUUAAACACUUUUAAGGAAUCCCUUGACUUCAUGGUAUGAUAACAUCACAUUUCUCUACAUCCAUUUGUAAUCUGAAUUUUAAACCCUGUGAUCAGGAAUGCUGAUUUUCAGCCAUUCAUCAAUAAUGUAUGAAGCAUUUUAAGCAACAGCAAUGUCUUAGUCAUAUUUAUGUUAUGAAAAGAUAAUUCUAGGUGUGAUGUGGAGAAUGCAUCCCCAUUAGGCCCCCUGCAAUCCAAAGAAACCAGUCAGUACACGAUAUAUUAAUCUAGGCAAGAGUUAUGGGAACUUUGAUUUGGGUGGUGAUGGUAGACGGGGAUAAAUGGAUGGAUUUGGGAGUCAGUGAUGAGUUAGCUAUUGGGGCGAGGUGAAGAGGGGAGAGUUGAAGAUGACUCCUAAAUUUCUGACGUGUAGUAACAUCAUCAGUGGUAUCAUUACAUGAAACGGAACAAGGCAGGAUAUCAGGCACUAGGGCGAGAUCUUGAGUUCUAUUUUAGAUGUAUUCGAUUUGAGGUACCUUGAGACAUUACGAGUGGAGACAUUUUGAGAAGGCUGCCCAGUGGUACUGAUAAGGCCUGGGAGAAAAGAACUGGAUUAGAGAUAGGAAUCUAUGAGGCAUCUGCAUUUAACUGUUAAUUAAAGCAGUGGGUGUGGAUGAGAUCACUUAAGAGUCUAGAGAAUAAGAAGAGGAAGCCCUAGUACCCUGCCUUGCGGGAUUCCCUGUGUUUAAAUGGCCUAGCCAAGGUGAAUGAGGCAAAAAGGAGACAGAGAAGGAGCAACCAGAGAGUUAGGAGGGAAAAUAAGGAUGGUGGUGAGUCACGGAGGACCAGAAGAAUGGUUUUCAGAGGCGGGUGUAAUCAGCAAUUCCGAAUCCUGUGGAAAGUUCAGGUGUAAUUGUUGGGAAUGAAGUUUUUGGUGUCGGGAAAAAGAGAAAAAAAGAAUUAACGCGGGAAGAAAUGAUCUCUCAGCAGAGAGAGCUUUACUUUCUGCAGAAAGGGUGCUACUCAAUAGUUGUCUGGCCACGAGAGCACACCGAACAAAGGAGACAGAGUUAUUUAUAACCUGACGUGUUUACCCUACUGCUGUGUCCAGUUUCCAUUGGCUGGGAUAGGACCUCACAUUUUACACUUUAUCCUAUUGGCUAUUAGUUUAAAACUUUCUUAAAUAGGUAAGGGGAACAGAACAAAGAAAAGGAAGUUGUCCAGGACUAGUUAAGGAAGCAUCUCCAAAUAAGGAAUGGCAUGCACUGUGGGCUCCGGUGUGCCUAAUUCUGUCCAGGCAUGCUGGAGCAAGCUAGGAGAGCUGAUUUGGAAUACAUACAUAUACACACUAAUAGUGCACAGCAAUCUUAUAGUAAGAAAUUGUGACUUUUCAUAAUCUUUGAAAAAGAACUUCCCCAUUUCUCACAGUAAUAAAGACACACAAUUGUAUUUAAUGACAUGCAGGUCAGUGACUAGCCAAAAGGAUUGGGCUGAAGAGUGAGUGAGGAAAAAGACUUGGACUAUGGUAAAUACAGGCAAAUGUUUUGAGAGGUUUAAUUAUGAGGUGUGGGUAGUAGCUGG
rnacentral:lncRNA from 1 species